rnacentral:rRNA from 1 species
AGAGCGAACGCUGGCGGCAGGCUUAACACAUGCAAGUCGAGCGGGCGUAGCAAUACGUCAGCGGCAGACGGGUGAGUAACGCGUGGGAACGUACCUUUUGGUUCGGAACAACACAGGGAAACUUGUGCUAAUACCGGAUAAGCCCUUACGGGGAAAGAUUUAUCGCCAAAAGAUCGGCCCGCGUCUGAUUAGCUAGUUGGUGAGGUAACGGCUCACCAAGGCGACGAUCAGUAGCUGGUCUGAGAGGAUGAUCAGCCGACAUUGGGACUGAGACACGGCCCAAACUCCUACGGGAGGCAGCAGUGGGGAAUAUUGGACAAUGGGCGCAAGCCUGAUCCAGCCAUGCCGCGUGAGUGAUGAAGGCCCUAGGGUUGUAAAGCUCUUUUGUGCGGGAAGAUAAUGACGGUACCGCAAGAAUAAGCCCCGGCUAACUUCGUGCCAGCAGCCGC